UGUUGCUGAAGUACAACUCAGUCUGAUAUUGAAACGGCCCUGCAACAGAUUGAAUCAAACCUCUUGCAAAAGUCACGGGACAGAGCUGAAGGGUGAUUUGUUUCCUACUGUCUGAGAAGGCCUGCAGAGUUCCACCAAAGAACAUUUGAAUCCUUUAAUGACUCUAAGGAAGGUUCCUACUGCUUCAGCUCUACAAUGGUCAAGAUAAAAAUUGUAGGAAUGAGGGAUGUGAUGUGU
rnacentral:lncRNA from 1 species